rnacentral:tRNA from 2 species
GCCCAGGUGGCGGAAUUGGUAGACGCACUGGUUUCAGGUACCAGCGGUGCAAGCCGUGAAGGUUCGAGUCCUUUCCUGGGCACCA